GCCAACCCGGCCGACGAUGCAGGUUCGACGAGAAACCCUACCGAAACACGACGUAGGCCCACGAUAUCUCUGAAGGACCCGCGGUUCCGGUACAUUGCCCAAGCCCUGAUGGCUGCGCGAGGAGGUCGUGGAGCGGGCGGUACCAGUGGCAGUUCGUCGCCAAACGGACGGACAUCCCCCUCCGCCACCCCGUAUGUCGCUUCGGAGGACGACAACACCAUCCUCGAGCUCGGCGCAUCACAAGUUCUCCACUCCACGGGGGGAUUUGGAGGGAGGUCCUCAGGAACUGCCUCACCCGUGACCUCGCAGAGGACUGCACAGUCAAGGAAAUGCGCUGCGCCAACUGUCACGGAGCUCACAGGGCAACGUACCCGGGCUGCCCG
rnacentral:misc_RNA from 1 species